GACGAACGCUGGCGGCGUGCCUAACACAUGCAAGUCGAACGGAAAGGCCCUGCGUUUGUGGGAUGCUCGAGUGGCGAACGGGUGAGUAACACGUGAGUAACCUGCCCUUGUCUUUGGGAUAACUUCAGGGAACUGGGGCUAAUACCGCAUAUAAGCUCCUGCUGCAUGUGGGGGGUUGGAAAAUUUCGGCGGUUGGGGAUGGACUCGCGGCUUAUCCGCUUGUUGGUGGGGUAGUGGCUUACCAAGGCUUUGACGGGUAGCCGGCCUGAGAGGGUGACCGGCCACAUGGGGACUGAGAUAGGGACCAGACUCCUACGGGAGGCAGCAGGGGGGAACAUUGCACAAUGGGCGGAAGCCUGAUGCAGCAACGCCGCGUGCGGGAUGACGGCUUUCGGGUUGUAAACCGCUUUCGCCUGUGACGAAGCGUGAGUGACGGUAAUGGGUAAAGAAGCACCGGCUAACUACGUG
rnacentral:rRNA from 1 species